CCUUGUACACACCGCCCGUCACACCAUGGGAGUCAGUUGCUCCAGAAGUGGCUUGCCGUAACCGUAAGGAGGGCGGUCCUAAGGAGUGACUGGUAACUGGGGUG
rnacentral:rRNA from 1 species